AUAAAUCAAGAUGAAAAUUAAUCAAGAGCUCAAGAUGACAUCAGUCCCAUUCGUCUAAGUCCUGGUGUCGUGUGGAUGGAGAGCAGCAGCCGGUUAUGACAAAGGUGAUACGAAGUGGGCACUGGUUCCUCGCUGGCCAGGAUGUGCUGGAGGCAGAGAGGUCUCGGAUGUCAUCGCUUACUGGUAGUGGUCCUCCUUUCGCGCACGCGACCGCAGGUUUCUAUCUGCUCCGUCGGGCAUCAUCGCAUUACCUCAGACUGCACUGGCUCUGCCUCUCCUGCCGAGCGAAGGCUUCUAACCUUCCUUCCACGAUUUUAAAGGGCUGCCCUGAUGUGAGGGGACGCUCAAGGCCAGUCCGCGCCUGUUUUGUGAGGCCCUUCUUUCUCAUGCUGGGACAAAGCCACGAGGGAAUCAACCUCCCCUCUCCUGAGACUCNNNNNNNNNNNNNNNNNNNNNCAGGAUCCAGGACCCUCCCUCAGUACACUUGUAGCACCGCGCCACAGCUUCCACUUUUCACAGAUUCUGGUCUUGGCUGAGAGGUGAAGAGUGUCCCAUUGGCUGGAGGAGUGGAGUUCCACUUCAGAAAAAGAGCUCUCAUCUUGCAAGUUAACACAGAAACCCAUUUUAGUGGAUUGAGUAAGAUUACUGCUGCCAUUAUUUUUAGAAAAAGGAAAUAAACCCCAAGACGACUAAUUCUUGAGGUGGUAA
rnacentral:lncRNA from 1 species